rnacentral:lncRNA from 1 species
CUGGGCUGCGGAGACCAGAGCCCGGCUCCACUGAAGAAACCCGCCGGCUGCUGGGGCAGGGCGGCGAAAGGUCAGUCGGCCGAGAGGAGUCCGUGGAGCCACCGUUUCAUAGCCUCAGGGAAAGGAUCGGGCGUGCUCACGAGCCCUCUAACCCAUGGCUUAAACACCCGCUUCCUAAGCCUGGUUCCUGAAUAUAUCACAUGUGGUGAUAAACAUGAAGAUGUAUGAAAAAUUGUGUUCGUUGAGAGAAAAUGGAAGGCUUUUCAUUCUACUUCCACAUUUUCAUUCCAGCAGCUUUUCUGUUUUGGAAGAUGAGUACUGAAUCUUGCAAUGAAAUUUUUUUAACUUAAACAAGACAAGGAAAAUGAAGCGCAGAGACGUUAAAUAACUCUCUCAAGGUCAUGCAGCUGAGAAGAGAUGAGACUUGAACUCCAGUGCCAGCCCUGUUAAUCACUAUUCUGUACUGUCUUUCAGAUGGAAUGAUAGGGUAUGCAUAAAUGUUCAUGUGGGCUCUGGAGUAUACCAGGAACUGAAGUAAGGUACAUGGACGUCUUGAAUAUUGUAACUGAGAUGGGCAAGCCUACACCUUUGCAAAUAAAGGAGGAUUGGGAAAGAUUAAGAUCCUGUUAAACGUCAGUGUUACUAUUUAGCCUUUGAUAUCUCCAGUAAAGGCAACUUCUUUCUGGACCCAGAAAUAAAGCUUUACAUUAGCAGCUUCCAUAACACCAAUAACAUGAAUGACCAUCUACUGAGCAAUUGCAGUGCACCAGGAUUAUGGCUUAUGAGCACUUUAU